GCGGACGUGGUGCGCGGCGCACCGCUACAUUUCAUUUGGGAAGUCGGAGUCAGUUGAAGCAGCUGCUGGGGUUCGACUCCCCGCGUCCGCA